AUCAGGUGAUGGUCAGGUGGUCGUUAAACUGCCUCUCUGAAAUAAUAGUUGGGUCACAGCUGGUGCCAGGGAAAGGUAGUCUCCCAAUAGAUAGAAACACCAGGAACGGAUGAUCAGCAGCUUCCAGAUAAGAUCUCAGGAAAUGGGCUCUUGUUCCAGAGGACUGAAUAGAUCUUCAAGUCCUUGCAUACUGUCAAGCAUUUACAUCAGGGCCCUCACUGCCUUGGAUGCACUUGGAGAAUUUUAGCUGCAACAGGAUGCAAAAAGUUCAAGCCAAGGGUACAGGGAGAAGAAAGUGAAAGUGGAAAUUAAAGGGCCCAAGUAGGAGAGAGCAGAAGAAAAAGAAACAAACAAACAAGAACAACAUAAAAACAAGCAAUCGUGCAAACAAACAAACAACCAAUGGAGCAUCACAGGGCUAUGGAACAUUUAAUUAAGAAAAGACUUCCAUCUUGUUCCCAGAGGUGUUUAUGACUUAAUGGAUAUAAAUGGGUGCCAGCAUUAUGGGUGCUGCCUGUUAUCAUGUAUUAUAAUACCAGGGAAUGAUUGCAAGA
rnacentral:lncRNA from 1 species